GUGUGUUAUGUCAUGUAUUCAAGGUGUGUUAUGUCAUGUUAUGUCAUGUAUUCAAGGUGUGUUAUGUCAUGUAUUCUAGGUGUGUUAUGUCAUGUAUUCUAGGUGUAUUAUGGCAUGUAUUCUAGGUGUGUAUUCAAGGUGUGUAAUGUCAUGUAUUCUAGGUGUGUUAUGUCAUGUAUUCUAGGUGUGUUAUGUCAUGUAUUCUAGGUGUGUAAUGUCAUGUAUUCUAGGUGUGUAUUCAAGGUGUGUAAUGUCAUGUAUUCUAGGUGUGUAUUCUAGGUGUGUAUUCAAGGUGUGUUAUGUC